rnacentral:lncRNA from 1 species
UUCUAAAGUGGUUUUGAGUAAUGUGAGUGAUUUAAAGCUUUUUAACAAUGGUGGAAAGUGUGUUUGAGAAGAUAGGAAACAAAUGGGGUAAAAAUGGAUGCAAUGGACAAGAUUAUGAUGUUUGUGGACUAAUUUACAGCUGAUCGCCGGAAAAUAACGCCAGAAAAGUGGCCGGAAUCGGAGCUUUUUGGUGAGAAAAAUAACCACUUUCUAUUUUUAGCUUUUGGAAUUAUUUUUUUUAAUAUUUUUGGAAACCUAUAUAUUAUUUUUAUAUAUAUAGUGCUGGAUGAUGGAGUGGGUUGAAGUGUAUUAUUAGAAA